AAAAACACCCAACUCACCACCCACGACCACGACCCACCACUCUGCCGAGCCCUCACAACCUCCCUCCCCCUUCCCGCAUUGGCGCCCCACACCACCACCACCUACCCCAAGCCCCGCAGCCGGCGACUACGGGGGACGCCCGCCGACCACCGUGGCACCCCACGCCACCACCAGCAGACCAUGCCCCCCUCCCCCCGCGCGGCGCCUUCCGCCGCCACAACAUAGGGUCGUGGCCCCCGCCCAGUCAACUACCUCCGGCGGCUCGACGGCCUGGAUCCGGCAUCGCCUCCUCCACACCAGCCGCCGUCUCCCUCCACCAGCUUACUCCUAGCCCCCUCUCACCUUCCUCCUCAUCCGGCGGCCCGCAUGGCGCUGGAUCGGAGUUGCCUCGGCCUCCCCGUGCUUUGUCAGCGUCGGAUCUCGUUUGGUGCAGCGAGAGCGGGAAGACGGCGGAUGCAUCUGGCUGAUCACGGGCCUCCCUCGAUCCAGCGAGGAGCCUGCGCCGCUGAGGAUCCUGCCUCCUCCACCGCCCUGGCGCCGCCGUUGGGCCACACGUGGGGCACGGAGGACGGCGUGCGGCAUCGGCGCACUGGAAGGAGCAGGAGGAGCUGCACCUCUUAUCUCCGGCCAGAUCCAUCGCCGGAUGGGAUUCGGCGAAGGCUCGUAUGGUCAGAUGGGUGUCUGGUUCUUCAGUUCUCUUGUGCAUUUGUUGUUGUUUUUAGCGGCCGUGGACUUUCACGGUGGUGCUCCCAGUGCCUCAUCUCUCUGUGUGUGUUUUUGCAUGGAUCUCUCUGUAGUUGGAGUAUGCAUCAUACUUUUGUGAUUCGUGUAGUACGGUAUCCGUAGCCAUGCAGUACAGCAACACAUUUCGUGCAGCUCCAGCAAACCCCUUGCACAAAGAUGACGACGGGGCAGUGGGGUUGCAGUUCCCUUUGCAAAGGGUACCCCGGUUGUCGCAGCAGUGCAGUUGGUGCGGCCAUGCAGUCCACUGUUUGACAUUUUGUUUUGUGUUUUUGUGGUGGUCGCGGUCCGUUGGGCAUAAGCGUGCAGUACGCCACUGGGGAAUGAUCUAGUGCAGCUCGACUAGUCCUCAAUUGCGGUUCAGCUGGUGACCGUGUUGAUUGUGUGUAUGUAUGUGUGUGUGGCUGUGUAAAAAUAAUGAAUGUAUAUGUAUGUUUUGAAGCUCA